GUCUUCGUGGUGUAAAUGGAAAGCACAUCCGGUUAACAAUCAAAAGGUCCGAGUUCGAGUCCCGGCGAGGACA
rnacentral:tRNA from 1 species